rnacentral:rRNA from 1 species
UUAAACGGCUGCCGUACUCUGACUGUGCAAAGGUAGCAUGAUCAAUUGUCUGGUAAUUCCAGUCUGGUAAGAAUGGUUAGACGAUAGGAACGCUGUCUUUUUCUCUUUUGUUGAAAUUGACUACCAGGUGCGGUUUCCUGGAUUGGAGAGUGGGACGAGAAGACCCUAUAGAGCUUUAACUUUAGCUAUAAAAUCAUUGUUAUGGUGUGUGUUUUAGUUGGGGCAACUAUUCUUAUUAUUAAACAUUUAUAGUAAUCUAGUAAAUUUAAUUUGUGUGGACCCUAAAUUUUUAGGUAGUUAGAAAAAGUUACCUUAGGGAUAACAGCGUAAUUUCUCUUGAGAGUUCUUAUUAA